rnacentral:rRNA from 1 species
UACGGUGGGUGCAAGCGUUAUCCGGAUUCACUGGGUUUAAAGGGUGCGUAGGUGGGUUGGUAAGUCAGUGGUGAAAUCUCCAGGCUUAACUUGGAAACUGCCAUUGAUACUAUCAAUCUUGAAUACCGUGGAGGUCAGCGGAAUAUGUCAUGUAGCGGUGAAAUGCUUAGAUAUGACAUAGAACACCAAUUGCGAAGGCAGCUGGCUACACGAAUAUUGACACUGAUGCACGAAAGCGUGGGGAUCAAACAGG